UACGUAGGUGGCAAGCGUUGUCCGGAUUUACUGGGCGUAAAGAGCGCGCAGGCGGUCGUUCAAGUCGCGUGUGAAAGCCCCCGGCUCAACUGGGGAGGGUCACGCGAUACUGAUCGACUCGAAGGCAGGAGAGGGUAGUGGAAUUCCCGGUGUAGUGGUGAAAUGCGUAGAUAUCGGGAGGAACACCAGUGGCGAAGGCGGCGACCUGGACAGAUAUUGACGCUGAGGUGCGAAAGCGUGGGAGCAAACAGGG
rnacentral:rRNA from 1 species